CUUGUUUGCGCACGCAAGUCCUGUAUUCAGGGGUGGCGUUUUCGUAUAUCCGAUGUAAGUUCGGCGCCGGAUCAUACCUAGCGUGGCUCUCAACUCUAUCAGGUAUUCCUUGAAAUUCUUGAUAUCGAACUGAUUAAUAUUUCAAAUGUUCUUACUACAGAUUAACACAGAACUUUUAAGUUAGUUUUGGGUUAGGUUAAAUGUCGAACUGAAAAGGGGUAAUGAAACGACUAAAAAAUUAUUCGCACCACAGGAUGGGUACGAGCGCCAUAGCAACAUAAAGGAAGCCACCGAUUGACGUCGCCUUUUUUGUUAGUAAGUUUUAGUAGUUUCGCUGGCCUUGAUUACGUGUUGUGCGGUUGAUCGUGACGGCGGGUCCGGUUAGUCAAACAAUCGUUCGCUUUCUUACUCGUGGUGAUCGUCAGGCUUAUCUUGGCGUCAGCGAUGUCCCAGAGGAUCAUGGGGUCACUCUUUUAGUUUUCUAGCGCUGACCAUGACCUAUCCCAAAUUUAUAUUCACAUAUGAAUGUAUGUUGUGUACUGAGAUUUAAGACGGCACUUAUCCGAACGACGUGGAUAUUCCCCUCCCCUCCAUCAACAAACUUAACCGGACAUGAUUCUUUAAUACAUUUCAACAAAUUUUUUGCACGAACGGGAACAGGCGGAGAAACUUGCCAAAGGCUAUUGU